rnacentral:rRNA from 1 species
GACGAACGCUGGCGGCGUGCUUAACACAUGCAAGUCGAACGGAAAGGCCCUGCUUUUGUGGGGUGCUCGAGUGGCGAACGGGUGAGUAACACGUGAGUAACCUGCCCUUGACUUUGGGAUAACUUCAGGAAACUGGGGCUAAUACCGGAUAGGAGCUCCUGCUGCGUGGUGGGGGUUGGAAAGUUUCGGCGGUUGGGGAUGGACUCGCGGCUUAUCAGCUUGUUGGUGGGGUAGUGGCUUACCAAGGCUUUGACGGGUAGCCGGCCUGAGAGGGUGACCGGCCACAUUGGGACUGAGAUACGGCCCAGACUCCUACGGGAGGCAGCAGUGGGGAAUAUUGCACAAUGGGCGGAAGCCUGAUGCAGCAACGCCGCGUGCGGGAUGACGGCCUUCGGGUUGUAAACCGCUUUCGCCUGUGACGAAGCGUGAGUGACGGUAAUGGGUAAAGAAGCACCGGCUAACUACGUGCCAGCAGCCGCGGUGAUACGUAGGGUGCGAGCGUUGUCCGGAUUUAUUGGGCGUAAAGGGCUCGUAGGUGGUUGAUCGCGUCGGAAGUGUAAUCUUGGGGCUUAACCCUGAGCGUGCUUUCGAUACGGGUUGACUUGAGGAAGGUAGGGGAGAAUGGAAUCCCUGGUGGAGCGGUGGAAUGCGCAGAUAUCAGGAGGAACACCAGUGGCGAAGGCGGUUCUCUGGGCCUUUCCUGACGCUGAGGAGCGAAAGCGUGGGGAGCGAACAGGCUUAGAUACCCUGGUAGUCCACGCUGUAAACGGUGGGUACUAGGUGUGGGGUCCAUUCCACGGGUUCCGUGCCGUAGCUAACGCUUUAAGUACCCCGCCUGGGGAGUACGGCCGCAAGGCUAAAACUCAAAGGAAUUGACGGGGCCCCGCACAAGCGGCGGAGCAUGCGGAUUAAUUCGAUGCAACGCGUAGAACCUUACCUGGGUUUGACAUGGAUCGGGAGUGCUCAGAGAUGGGUGUGCCUCUUUUGGGGUCGGUUCACAGGUGGUGCAUGCCUGUCGUCAGCUCGUGUCGUGAGAUGUUGGGUUAAGUCCCGCAACGAGCGCAACCCUUGUUCACUGUUGCCAGCACGUUAUGGUGGGGACUCAGUGGAGACCGCCGGGGUCAACUCGGAGGAAGGUGGGGAUGACGUCAAGUCCUCAUGCCCCUUAUGUCCAGGGCUUCACGCAUGCUACAAUGGCUGGUACAGAGAGUGGCGAGCCUGUGAGGGUGAGCGAAUCUCGGAAAGCCGGUCUCAGUUCGGAUUGGGGUCUGCAACUCGACCUCAUGAAGUCGGAGUCGCUAGUAAUCGCAGAUCAGCAACGCUGCGGUGAAUAAGUUCCCGGGGCU